rnacentral:rRNA from 1 species
CAGGCCUAACACAUGCAAGUCGAACGAUGUCUUUCGGGGCAUAGUGGCGCACGGGUGCGUAACGCGUGGGAAUCUGCCCUGGGGUCUGGGAUAACGUUGGGAAACUGACGCUAAUACCGGAUGAUGAUGAAAGUCCAAAGAUUUAUCGCCCUGGGAUGAGCCCGCGUAGGAUUAGGUAGUUGGUGUGGUAAAGGCGCACCAAGCCGACGAUCCUUAGCUGGUCUGAGAGGAUGAUCAGCCACACUGGGACUGAGACACGGCCCAGACUCCUACGGGAGGCAGCAGUGGGGAAUAUUGGACAAUGGGCGCAAGCCUGAUCCAGCAAUGCCGCGUGAGUGAUGAAGGCCUUAGGGUUGUAAAGCUCUUUUACCCGUGAUGAUAAUGACAGUAGCGGGAGAAUAAGCUCCGGCUAACUCCGUGCCAGCAGCCGCGGUAAU